AUUGAACGCUGGCGGCAUGCUUUACACAUGCAAGUCGAACGGUAACAGGUUAAGCUGACGAGUGGCGAACGGGUGAGUAAUGCAUCGGAACGUGCCCGAUCGUGGGGGAUAACGCAGCGAAAGCUGCGCUAAUACCGCAUACGAUCUGAGGAUGAAAGCGGGGGACCGUAAGGCCUCGCGCGAUCGGAGCGGCCGAUGUCAGAUUAGGUAGUUGGUGGGGUAAAGGCACACCAAGCCAACGAUCUUUAGAUGGUCUGAGAGGACGACCAGCCAAACGGGGACUGAGGCACGGCCCAGACUCCUACGGGAGGCAGCAGUGGGGAAUGUUGGACAAUGGGCGAAAGCCUGAUCCAGCAAUGCCGCGUGCAGGAAGAAGGCCUUCGGGUUGUAAACUGCUUUUGUACGGAGCGAAAAGGCUCUCUCUAAUACAGGGGGCUCAUGACGGUACCGUAAGAAUAAGCACCGGCUAACUACGUGCCAGCAGCCGCAGUAA
rnacentral:rRNA from 1 species